UGCACAUGUACAUGUAUCACCUAAGAGUCACACAUUUACAGUCACGUGAAUGCAUCAGAGAUGACAGCAAUUACUUCCCUUUGCAGUCACUCAUCAAAUAUUUCUCAUGCAGUAAAUCAAACCAGACAAAUCUGGAAUCUGGCAGUAAUCUAGACAUAUGUUUACCUGACCAUACAGAAAUAAAAAGCAGAGAACUUCGAUUUGACUUUUCGAAUCUUGCCAUAUCUGCCACACGUGGUCACAUCGGGGACCCAACGAAAGACGCCAUUGUAGUUAGCCAUGCCACAAUGAAUAACACUGAAAACAGUCUUAACUCUGUGAUACAGUUGUCAGACAAAGCAGAAGAAUUAAUAAACUACAAAACGAAGCCAUGUCGGAAGAGGAUAUGUUCAGUAAAAACCAG